rnacentral:hammerhead_ribozyme from 1 species
CAUCGGCUGAGGAGUCCCAAAACAGGGCGAAACGGCCGUCCAGUGC